rnacentral:rRNA from 1 species
AUUGAACGCUGGCGGCAUGCCUUACACAUGCAAGUCGAACGGUAACAGGUCUUCUGAUGCUGACGAGUGGCGAACGGGUGAGUAAUACAUCGGAACGUGCCCGAUCGUGGGGGAUAACGGAGCGAAAGCUUUGCUAAUACCGCAUACGAUCUACGGAUGAAAGCCGGGGACCGCAAGGCCUUGCGCGGACGGAGCGGCCGAUGGCAGAUUAGGUAGUUGGUGGGAUAAAAGCUUACCAAGCCGACGAUCUGUAGCUGGUCUGAGAGGACGACCAGCCACACUGGGACUGAGACACGGCCCAGACUCCUACGGGAGGCAGCAGUGGGGAAUUUUGGACAAUGGGCGAAAGCCUGAUCCAGCCAUGCCGCGUGCAGGAUGAAGGCCUUCGGGUUGUAAACUGCUUUUGUACGGAACGAAAAGACUCUUUCUAAUAAAGAGGGUCCAUGACGGUACCGGAAGAAUAAGCACCGGCUAACUACGUG